CUGGAAUUGUAAAACUACUAGAAUAAAAUAUAAGGAAAAAGCUUCUUGACACUGUUUGGUCAAUGACUUUUUUGGAUACAAUCCCCAAAGUGCAGGAAACAAAAAUAGAAUUAAACUAGUGAGAUUUCAUCAAAAAUCAUGUCGUACACUUUAAAUAUAUAUAAUUUUUAUUUGUCAAUUAUACCUCAAUAAAACUACACACAGACACACACACACACACACACACACACACACACACUUGGUAUAGUUGGGGUUUACCUUCCAGCACAUGAAGAAGCCACAGAAGGGCUUUAACCAGUUCAGGGAUAGGAUCCAAGUUGUGUUGUAGAGUGACACUCUGGUGGCUGGGAAGAGUGAGUUGUCGUAUAGUGAGACUCUG